AUUGAACGCUGGCGGCAUGCCUUACACAUGCAAGUCGAACGGCGGCACGGGAGCAAUCCUGGUGGCGAGUGGCGAACGGGUGAGUAAUAUAUCGGAACGUGCCCAGUAGUGGGGGAUAACUGCUCGAAAGAGCAGCUAAUACCGCAUACGACCUGAGGGUGAAAGGGGGGGAUCGCAAGACCUCUCGCUAUUGGAGCGGCCGAUAUCAGAUUAGCUAGUUGGUGGGGUAAAGGCCUACCAAGGCAACGAUCUGUAGUUGGUCUGAGAGGACGACCAGCCACACUGGGACGGAGACCCGGCCCAGACUCCUACGGGAGGCAGCAGUGGGGAAUUUUGGACAAUGGGCGCAAGCCUGAUCCAGCAAUGCCGCGUGCAGGAAGAAGGCCUUCGGGUUGUAAACUGCUUUUGUCAGGGAAGAAAUCCUCUAGGUUAAUACCCUUGGGGGGAUGACGGUACCUGAAGAGUAAGCACCGGCUAACUACGUGCCAGCAGCCGCCGUAACAC
rnacentral:rRNA from 1 species